rnacentral:lncRNA from 1 species
AUUCAGACAGGGAUGACACAAUUUUGAUGUGAAUGCACCCCAUCAAAUCAAAGUACAAAACAUCCUACAGGACCUACCUGAGGGCACCGCUGGCCAUAUCGCCAAGUCCAAUCUCCAAUGUGCUCAGUAACAAAAGAAGCGAUCUAAUUUGCCAUACUAUUCGCCUCUCAAAAAACCUGAUGGAUCGAUACUUUGGUAAAUUCAUGAAGAAAAAUUCA